UUCCAGCCUCCGGACGCUGCUCUCGGGACUCUCGAUCGCCCGCAGCGCUACGCGCGUGCCGACGGCCCCCGCAGUUUAGUCUCUCUCGAGCGUCGGACUGCGCAGCGAAGUUGCGUGUCUCACUGCGAUGCUCUCGCCUCUUUCGCGUGUUUUAUGACACUCGCUCUUCUUCUCGCGUUGGUGUGCCAUGCGGCGACGAGAUCCUGCGGCGUCGAUUUGUUUCCUGUGAUGACAUGUCGUGCGCGACGCGUGCGAGGCUCUCCGUUCUUCCGAAAGAAAUGUGACCUCGGGAUGAUACUGCUGUUAGAAUGAAACUGCUGCUCCUCUCGCGCCCGCAGUGAUCUGUGAUGCCCGCUUUCUUCGAGCAGCGGCGACGGUGCACCGCGAAGAACCUACACGGCGUCUGUGCGUGCUGACGACAAACAGAUAAAGAAGUUUAGAGUAGAGAGGGCCCGAAUAUUUGUCGGGUCCCGGAACUUGCUUUAGAAUUAGGAUCUUCCCUUUCUUCGUUUCUUAUUUCUUCGAACUAUUUAUUAACAAUUUUCACAUCUGAAGAGCUGACGGCAAGUUAAAUCCGCUGAAACUGAAAACACGCUCGUAGUUGCCCGACAGAUAAGUUUCUUAUUUACAAGUGCGAAGACUAAGGAUACCGACUCAUCAAUCGAAACGCCUACCACCGGUGAAGUCCAAGUCAAAUCAACCUUCCUGUGAGCUCCAGUUUUUCAGUUGCUUUUUAUCAACUUCGUUGGUGCGCUGUUUUGUGCCGGAAAAAGAUGAUUUUCUAGUGACCCACUCAUCGGUGUUGCUAACGACUAGAACACGUUGUUGCGAGUUCAUCGACCGUGCAAGCUACGAACUGCAAAGCACCUCGUCAACGCCGAUAAGUGCCGCAGGGAAGAAGAAAAUAAGGAAGACGGCAGAAAUUCUGGAAGAAAAGACAAGAAUUCGAACUCCCUGCCCGUCUACUGGCAAAGAGAGUUUACCAAUUCUGUGCUGCGACGCUAAGGUAUGUCUGCUGGGCACCUUUUUGGGAAAGAGCACACGUCUGUUUACCAAAAUCUUCAUUGCUACGUGUCGAUGUGAUACGCUAAAUGGAACAUUGUGAUACAUAAGCGUAAAAAGGUAUCGAGCACACACAAGCACUUUAGUUGCCUCAAUAAAAGGCAUGGCUGAGGC